GACACAAAUUCGAUUCCAGCAAAUGCUGAAAGUCUGCCUUUUGAAGAAAAACUAAACACCUCGAUGUCCCCCAGCCGCGGGAUAUUGUUAUAAACCAAAAUGGGGGAUGGUAUCCGGAGAACAACAGACUUUCAGGAUGUCAAGCAUCUUUAUGAAAACAUGAAAGCAGCAGGAAAACGCAGUAAUACAAAUGGGGAAUUGAGGUGUGCAACCGGAAGUCAAGAAAAAAAGGGUGCUGUAAACUUGCAUGUCUCCGCCAUGGAGGUAGUGAUGUCUGAUGCAGAGGGAGGG